CUAUAACCUCGGGAGUGUGAGGUACGACAGCUGUCGUCAGCAGCAGUGUUGCAACAGCAUCUGGAGGAACACUGGCGUGGCCUUGGAAUCUUGUGGUGACAGAUGCAGAACCCUGGGCACUGCUUCGGGCACCUGCGUGUUGGUGAACGAGUGCGUGAGGCUCGAACGAGUGUUCCUCGUGACAAACGCAGCUGGGGAUGUGGGACGCACUACCAAGUUCCUUCUGGACCAUCGGUGUGAUACCAGAGCUGGCGGUAUUCACGUAUGUUGCCCGACAGCAUAAGAGAAAAGGGAAUUAAAUAACAGGUUGAUUGAUAAAUAAAAGAUAGACCUUUAUUUAGGGUUUGUCCUAAGAAGAUAAACGGUUUGGUUGUGCUUUGUUUUACAUUAAUAUUAUUGCACUAAUAUCUUACUAAUUAAAUGUAGUAUGGAAACGAAUACUGUUUUUCGUGUAUCUUUUUUGAAACGAUGAUUUAGGACUUGUAUGUAGUUGAAUAAAGAAAAUUAUUGAUA
rnacentral:lncRNA from 1 species